CAGUCGCCGCGGGAAUUCGAAGGGGGCUAGCGUUGUUCGGAUUUACUGGGCGUAGAGCGCACGUAGGCGGAUCGAUCAGUCAGGGGUGAAAUCCUGGAGCUCAACUCCAGAACUGCCUUUGAUACUGUCGAUCUCGAGUCCGGAAGAGGUGAGUGGAACUCCUAGUGUAGAGGUGGAAUUCGUAGAUAUUCGCAAGAACACCGGUGGCGAAGGCGGCUCACUGGUCCGGAACUGACGCUGAGGCACGACAGCGUGGGGAGCAAACAGGAUUAGAUACCCGAGUAGUCCCUGUCUCUUAUAC
rnacentral:rRNA from 1 species